CCCCGGUAAACGGCGGCCGUAACUAUAACGGUCCUAAGGUAGCGAAAUUCCUUGUCGGGUAAGUUCCGACCUGCACGAAUGGCGUAAUGAUGGCCAGGCUGUCUCCACCCGAGACUCAGUGAAAUUGAACUCGCUGUGAAGAUGCAGUGUACCCGCGGCAAGACGGAAAGACCCCGUGAACCUUUACUAUAGCUUGACACUGAACAUUGAGCCUUGAUGUGUAGGAUAGGUGGGAGGCUUUGAAGUGUGGACGCCAGUCUGCAUGGAGCCGACCUUGAAAUACCACCCUUUAAUGUUUGAUGUUCUAACGUGGACCCGUAAUCCGGGUUGCGGACAGUGUCUGGUGGGUAGUUUGACUGGGGCGGUCUCCUCCUAAAGAGUAACGGAGGAGCACGAAGGUUGGCUAAUCCUGGUCGGACAUCAGGAGGUUAGUGCAAUGGCAUAAGCCAGCUUGACUGCGAGCGUGACGGCGCGAGCAGGUGCGAAAGCAGGUCAUAGUGAUCCGGUGGUUCUGAAUGGAAGGGCCAUCGCUCAACGGAUAAAAGGUACUCCGGGGAUAACAGGCUGAUACCGCCCAAGAGUUCAUAUCGACGGCGGUGUUUGGCACCUCGAUGUCGGCUCAUCACAUCCUGGGGCUGAAGUAGGUCCCAAGGGUAUGGCUGUUCGCCAUUUAAAGUGGUACGCGAGCUGGGUUUAGAACGUCGUGAGACAGUUCGGUCCCUAUCUGCCGUGGGCGCUGGAGAACUGAGGGGGGCUGCUCCUAGUACGAGAGGACCGGAGUGGACGCAUCACUGGUGUUCGGGUUGUCAUGCCAAUGGCACUGCCCGGUAGCUAAAUGCGGAAGAGAUAAGUGCUGAAAGCAUCUAAGCACGAAACUUGCCCCGAGAUGAGUU
rnacentral:rRNA from 2 species